rnacentral:lncRNA from 1 species
CCCGUGUUUGCAAAUCAGCAAAUUUUUUUCAUAUUUCAUCUUCUUUCACUAUAUAAUCAAACAAUAAUUUUAAACAGAUUGAUACGAGCCGCAUUGCUAAUCCUAUAUCUUGACCUAGAACAAACAAGAACGAUGCAAAAACAAUAAAAAUAAAUAAAUAAAUAAUAAAAAAAAAAUUGCUUUCGAACCCAUAAUUUUUUCAAAUUUCGUUAGCUUUUCAUUCCAACAGUAUUCUUAUGAACAAAACCCAGAAAUCAAAACAAUACAUAUGUAGAAACACACGAUAUUAUGACAAUAACGUAAGUGCAUGAGAUAGAAUAGAGAGAUAAGUCGUGAAAAAGGGACCUCAGAGUAAAGAAAUUCAAGUGGUUAAUAUUGUAAUGUCCGGCCGGCAAAAUGCCACCGGAGAAGAAGGGACAGAGUAGUCUAAAAUACAAGAAGGAAAAAUUAGUCUUACCACCUCUUUUCUCUCUCUCUUUCUUUUACGCUGUAAUUUCCUCAGUAUGUUCUUUUCAUAUUUUCUCUCUUUGCCAGUUAUCUAUGGCACCGUUUAGAGAGAGGAACAGAGAGAUAUAUAGAGCGUUUAGAGAGGGCUGGUAUUCUGUGUUCAAAAUCGCCAGCAUGGCUAUAAGUGUUGG